CAUAGCGACUAUCGUGGCAUAUCAAUAAGCGGAGGAAAAGAAACUAACAAGGAUUCCCCUAGUAACGGCGAGUGAAGCGGGAAGAGCUCAAAUUUGAAAUCUUAAAGGGUUUCCCUUUACGAAUUGUAGUUUAAAGAAGUGUUUUCUGUUGGAGUUUCGGUAAAAGUUCUUUGGAAUAGGACAUCAUAGAGGGUGAGAAUCCCGUAUUUGAUCCGUUACUUUCCAGCUGUGUGAUACACUUUCAAAGAGUCGGAUUGUUUGGGAAUGCAGUCCAAAAUGGGUGGUAAAUUUCAUCUAAAGCUAAAUACUGGCGAGAGACCGAUAGCGAACAAGUACCGUGAGGGAAAGAUGAAAAGAACUUUGAAAAGAGAGUUAAACAGUACGUGAAAUUGUCAAAAGGGAAGCGUUUGACACCAGUGUUGUUUAGUUGAAAAUCAAUUCAAUAAUUUUUGAUUUUAAGUAGUAUUGACUUCAUCAGCUUGCUGCUUUCUUUUCAGGAAUUAUUGAAUGCACUUUUCAGUUAACAAGUCAACAUCAAUUUCUUUUGUUGUAAAAGGGUAAGAGGAAGGUGGCUUACGCUUCGGCGUAAGUGUUUAUAGCCUUUUACCUCUAGCAAUCGGAGAGAUUGAGGACAGCAGCGUAGACUCCUUCGGGGUUAGAUACACUUGUGCUAAGCUAUAGCCUUGUAUAGACAACUUGUUGACUAUGCUCAGUCAUGUAGCUUACUCGCUUGUGCUAUUUUACCUACGCUUAGGAUGUUGAUAUGCAUGACUGAUAU
rnacentral:rRNA from 1 species